AUUGAACGCUGGCGGCAGGCCUAACACAUGCAAGUCGAGCGAGCGGCGGACGGGUGAGUAAUGUAUGUGGACAGCCCGCUAGAGGGGGAGAACUACUGGAAAAGGUAGCUAAUACCGCAUAUUAUCGGAUAACCCAUAUGGGGUUAGCUAGUAGGUGAGGUAAUGGCUCACCUAGGGGACGCUCCCUAGCUGGUCUGAGAGGGUGAUCAGCCACACUGGGACUGAGACACGGCCCAGACUCCUACGGAGGCAGCAGUGGGGAAUAUUGCACAAUGGGCGCAAGCCUGAUGCAGCCAUGCCGCGUGUAUGAAGAAGGCCCUCGGGUUGUAAAGUACUUUCAGUCGGGAGGCGUUACCGACAGAAGAAGCACCGGCUAACUCCGUGCCAGCAGCCGCGGUAAUUC
rnacentral:rRNA from 1 species